rnacentral:lncRNA from 1 species
UGAUGGUGAGUGGUCUUGGUUCCUGUUAGUAGGAUUCCUACGUUUACCUUUCGCCAUCUGGUAAUCUCUGGAGUUAGUAGUUAUAGUUGACUCUGUUUAGAGAUUGUUCUUCUGGUGAUUCUGUUACCGUCUCUCAGCAGACCUGGGAGACAGAUUCUCUCCUCUGAGUUUCAGUGCUCAGAGCACUAUCUGCUGGCAAGCUCUCUUACAGGGAAGGUGCGCAGAUAUCUUGUUUUUGGACCUCCUCCUGGUCGAAGAAGAAGGCCCAAAACAGGGCCUCUCUCAGAAGCUGUGUUGCUUUGGCAGUUCCCAGAAGCUGUCAGCUUCUGUGGUGCAGACUCUCACCUGUGCAGACUAAAAUCCUAAGUUCCAGGGAGUCCUGGAACCAAGAUGGUGACCGCUGCUCCUGAGGCUGAGGCCAUCUCCCGAGCCAGGCGGACACCUGUCCUCUGGUCCGGAUGGUGGCCGGUUGUCUGCGGCCCGCCCAGGCUGCUGCCUCAGCGGCUCUGUGCUUCUGCCCGUCCCAGAAGCUGUCCGGUUCUCUGGCGCACCCUCUAACCUGUUCAGACUAAUUUCCUAAGUUCUGCUGAGUCCCGGAACCAAGAUGGUGACCGCUCAAUAAUAUUAUUUUAAAACAAUGAAAAUCCCUUAGUUACUCUUAAUGUGUUUUAUUUAGCAUAUAAGUGAGGUAGAUACCUAGCAGAUUUUCCUAUAAUAUUAAAGGAAUUGUUUUCUUCUACAAAAGGAUGACACUUGCUUUACAAACACAAUUACUGAGAAUAUUUUAAAAUUAUCUUAUUUUCAUUUUAAAUUAUUUUUUGUGCUAUGUAUCUAACAAGAACCUUAUACAUGCUAGAAUAUUGGUCUUUGACUCAAAAAUAUUUUAGUCUUUAAAUGUAUUUAAUUGAGUCUUAGAAUCUUAAGGAGAAACCUUCAGUUCUUCCUAAGAUGUCCUCUGUAUUUCUUGACCAUAGCCAUUACUUCUUUGAUUCAGAUAGUCUGUGUCUGGGGAUAUACUUUUUGUUUAUUAUUUUUGAGUCUUAAAUAACCAUGGUUAACUUAAUCCUUAAUUUUGAAAGUUUGAGGCUACAUUGAGAAAAACUGUAAAAUUUUCCAUUGGGUAGAGACGCCAAAGAUUAGAAUAUCUUUUCUUAACCAAACUUCCAAAUAUAUUCUCAUUGCAUCAGCUGUAUUCUCCUUGCAGGGAUUUACUACGUUCCCAUUGCAAGAAAUAAAAUGGUGCCUUUGAGUAAAUCUGCUUCAUCAGACACCAGUUUAGCAUGCCAAGUUAAAGCCAUCAAUGGAGAAGCAGCAGAUGUGAAGGCUACUUGGCAUCAAAGCAUAUGAGUCAAAGAGUUUCCUAUGGGAAAGAAAGUGCUUCAUUACACUUUAUCUAUAGUGAGAACAUUGGUUCUAUCAAGCUGUCUGGAAAUUAGAAUAUGAUGGGUUUUAUUGCCCUGGCUCUGCCAGAGAGAAUUCAAUAGUUAAAAAGAAAGCCAUAAUGCCAUUUUGGGAAUUAUAAGAAGUGAUUUCAGUGUUAGUGUAUUUAAACUUGGAAGAGCAGCAACUUUUAUCUUAGAAAGUAGCUUCUCUAAAAUAUCUGGAGGACAGAAGUUUAAUCCCUUUCUAAUUGUUACAUUUAAAAUGUGUACUAAUGCAGCUUUGGGACACUUUAAUUAAAGAAAAAAGUUAUGUGUUCGACUGAAGUGUAAAAUCUGCUAAGCAGUGUUUUAAUUGGCUUGGAAGGCAAGUGCCUGAAGUGGCUGCAAUUGCAGGGUACAGUAUGGGACUCUCCCCGCCUGGCACUCCCUCUCCACUCAGUGGAACAACCAUUCCUACUGUUUGUCAAGUUGGGAAGGGCAGCAUAAAUAAGGUGUCACACCUCAUUAAUCUUAGGGGCAAAUGCCCCACAGGGACUAGAAAAUUCUAAAGUCAGUUAAUAAAAUUACUUUGAAUUGGAACAUCAAGUGCUGGAUAAUGGUUGCCAAUGUGAGUGUUUACUGCCAACGAAGAGCAUUUUGAAAGAAAUACAAACAUGACAUAUUUUUGGAAACGAGAUAAAUUUAUAUAACUAUUAUCCAAAAAAAUGCCUUGGAAUUUAAAAAAACUAUAAUGUUUAUUUCUUAUAUAAAAAUAGGUAAAAUGUAAAUUCUUCAUGUUAUACAAAUUUGUGAAUAAAAACAUAGAGUUUUGAAAAAUAAUAAAAAAAGAACCUCAAUUC